GCUUAGGGAGAUUAAGUGGUUAGGACCUUGCCUUUUCACGGCAAAAACACGGGUUCGAUCCCCGUAAAGGA